GUAGGUGGCAAGCGUUGUCCGGAAUUAUUGGGGCGUAAAGCGCGCGCAGGCGGUCCUUUUAAAGUCUGAUGUGAAAGCCCACGGGCUCAACCGUGGAGGGGUCAUUGGAAACUGGGGGACUUGAGUGCAGAAGAGGAGAGUGGAAUUCCACGUGUAGCGGUGAAAUGCGUAGAGAUGUGGAGGAACACCAGUGGCGAAGGCGACUCUCUGGUCUGUAACUGACGCUGAGGCGCGAAAGCGUGGGGAGCGAACAGGAUUAGAUACCCCUGGUAGUCCACGCCGUAAACGAUGAGUGCUAAGUGUUAGAGGGUUUCCGCCCUUUAGUGCUGCAGCUAACGCAUUAAGCACUCCGCCUGGGGAGUACGGUCGCAAAGACUG
rnacentral:rRNA from 1 species